rnacentral:rRNA from 1 species
AGAGUUUGAUCCUGGCUCAGGACGAACGCUGGCGGCGUGCCUAAUACAUGCAAGUAGAACGCUGAAGAGAGGAGCUUGCUCUUCUUGGAUGAGUUGCGAACGGGUGAGUAACGCGUAGGUAACCUGCCUUGUAGCGGGGGAUAACUAUUGGAAACGAUAGCUAAUACCGCAUAACAAUGGAUGACACAUGUCAUUUAUUUGAAAGGGGCAAUUGUUCCACUACAAGAUGGACCUGCGUUGUAUUAGCUAGUAGGUGAGGUAAUGGCUCACCUAGGCGACGAUACAUAGCCGACCUGAGAGGGUGAUCGGCCACACUGGGACUGAGACACGGCCCAGACUCCUACGGGAGGCAGCAGUAGGGAAUCUUCGGCAAUGGGGGCAACCCUGACCGAGCAACGCCGCGUGAGUGAAGAAGGUUUUCGGAUCGUAAAGCUCUGUUGUAAGUCAAGAACGGGUGUGAGAGUGGAAAGUUCACACUGUGACGGUAGCUUACCAGAAAGGGACGGCUAACUACGUGCCAGCAGCCGCGGUAAUACGUAGGUCCCGAGCGUUGUCCGGAUUUAUUGGGCGUAAAGCGAGCGCAGGCGGUUUGAUAAGUCUGAAGUUAAAGGCUGUGGCUCAACCAUAGUUCGCUUUGGAAACUGUCAAACUUGAGUGCAGAAGGGGAGAGUGGAAUUCCAUGUGUAGCGGUGAAAUGCGUAGAUAUAUGGAGGAACACCGGUGGCGAAAGCGGCUCUCUGGUCUGUAACUGACGCUGAGGCUCGAAAGCGUGGGGAGCGAACAGGAUUAGAUACCCUGGUAGUCCACGCCGUAAACGAUGAGUGCUAGGUGUUGGAUCCUUUCCGGGAUUCAGUGCCGCAGCUAACGCAUUAAGCACUCCGCCUGGGGAGUACGACCGCAAGGUUGAAACUCAAAGGAAUUGACGGGGGCCCGCACAAGCGGUGGAGCAUGUGGUUUAAUUCGAAGCAACGCGAAGAACCUUACCAGGUCUUGACAUCCCGAUGCUAUUUCUAGAGAUAGAAAGUUACUUCGGUACAUCGGUGACAGGUGGUGCAUGGUUGUCGUCAGCUCGUGUCGUGAGAUGUUGGGUUAAGUCCCGCAACGAGCGCAACCCCUAUUGUUAGUUGCCAUCAUUCAGUUGGGCACUCUAGCGAGACUGCCGGUAAUAAACCGGAGGAAGGUGGGGAUGACGUCAAAUCAUCAUGCCCCUUAUGACCUGGGCCACACACGUGCUACAAUGGUUGGUACAACGAGUUGCGAGUCGGUGACGGCGAGCUAAUCUCUUAAAGCCAAUCUCAGUUCGGAUUGUAGGCUGCAACUCGCCUACAUGAAGUCGGAAUCGCUAGUAAUCGCGGAUCAGCACGCCGCGGUGAAUACGUUCCCGGGCCUUGUACACACCGCCCGUCACACCACGAGAGUUUGUAACACCCGAAGUCGGUGAGGUAACCUUUUGGAGCCAGCCGCCUAAGGUGGGACAGAUGAUUGGGGUGAAGUCGAAACAAGGUA